rnacentral:rRNA from 1 species
ACUUAGUGGCAGACGGGUGAGUAACAUGUGGGUAUCUACCCUUUGGCCUGGAAUAACACGAGGAAACUUGUGCUAAUACCGGAUAAGUCUUUACGGAGAAAGCUUUAUGCACCAUUGGAUGAGCCCGCACUUGAUUAGUUUGUUGGUAGGGUAAUGGCCUACCAAGACUAUGAUCAAUAGCUGAUUUGAGAGGAUGAUCAGCCACAUUGGGACUGAGACACGGCCCAAACUCCUACGGGAGGCAGCAGUGGGGAAUCUUGCACAAUGGAGGAAACUCUGAUGCAGCGAUGCCGCGUGAGUGAAGAAGGCCUUUGGGUUGUAAAGCUCUUUCGUCGGGGAAGAAAAUGACUGUACCCGAAUAAGAAGGUCCGGCUAACUUCGUGCCAGCAGCCGCGGUAAUACGAAGGGACCUAGCGUAGUUCGGAAUUACUGGGCUUAAAGAGUUCGUAGGUGGUUGAAAAAGUUGGUGGUGAAAUCCCAGAGCUUAACUCUGGAACUGCCAUCAAAACUUUUCAGCUAGAGUAUGAUAGAGGAAAGCAGAAUUUCUAGUGUAGAGGUGAAAUUCGUAGAUAUUA